AUUGAACGCCAGCGGGUUGCCUUACACAUGCAAGUCGAACGGCAGCGCGGACUUCGGUCUGGCGGCGAGUGGCGAACGGGUGAGUAAUGUAUCGGAACGUGCCCAGUAGCGGGGGAUAACUACUCGAAAGAGUAGCUAAUACCGCAUACGCCCUACGGGGGAAAGGGGGGGAUCGCAAGACCUCUCACUAUUGGAGCGGCCGAUAUCGGAUUAGCUAGUUGGUGAGGUAAAGGCUCACCAAGGCGACGAUCCGUAGCUGGUUUGAGAGGACGACCAGCCACACUGGGACUGAGACACGGCCCAGACUCCUACGGGAGGCAGCAGUGGGGAAUUUUGGACAAUGGGGGCAACCCUGAUCCAGCCAUUCCGCGUGCAGGAUGAAGGCCCUCGGGUUGUAAACUGCUUUUGUACAGAACGAAAAGGUCUCUAUUAAUACUAGGGGCUCAUGACGGUACUGUAAGAAUAAGCACCGGCUAACUACAUGCCAGCAGCCGCCGUAA
rnacentral:rRNA from 1 species